rnacentral:lncRNA from 1 species
UCGAUCUUUAUUUAUUUUACAAGAAUUACAACGAUGUGAAAACAUGUUUCGAACCACGUCGCAAUCAACGCACACGUGAUUGUCAACACAUUUCGGCUUUGUUGAGAUUUGGAUUUGGGUCGCAUCAAUGCGCACCCGAGUUUAAGAAAGUAAUAUAAAUAAAUCGUGCCUAAAGAUUCAAACGUAGUAUUAUUUCGGAAAAGGCCGUAAAAUUCGCUAAACGACUCUCCCAGAUUCUAAUUGUUUCGAUAACCAGUUAUUGAGGGCCCCGUAAUUUGUAAUUUUAGUUGGCAAGGCUCAUCUCAUCUUUAUUUUAAAAGGGAAGCUUAAAAGCAACUACGAUUUCCUAUUUUUGUUUUUGUUUUUCUUUAGUCUCUUAACAAACAAAACUAACAAUCAGAUAAACUACUUUAAUUGAACAACCCAAAGCUUCUGAUUUCUCAGACUUUCAGGCCCAAUGAAUCAAGCGUAUUAAUAAGCCAACUCCCAGCUCAAGCAACGGGGACUGCCUCAGAUAGAACCCAGGCUGAAACUCCAAAUUUCGAGCACUGGAGGGCAUGGGCUUUAAGCGUAGCCCAGCGACCUCAACCCGUUGGAAAUAUGUGGAAGGCCAUCAAACCCCCGCCGUAGAAAAAUGAAGAAGUAAUAUUUAAAGCAAAAAAUUAUUGAAAAUACUUAUGCACUGAGUUUAUACCAUGUUAUAAACAAUAACGAAGAAGAGCUUCAUAUUUGAAAAUCAUGGUAGAAUAUUAAUAAUUAAUAAAAUUAGCAAGAAAACUCACAGAUUGAGCUCCAAUUCUUAAAUGACACUUAUACCCUCUGCCAUAGAAAAAUGAAGGAGUAAUAAUUAAAGCCAAAAAUUGUUCAAAAUACUUAUGCUUUGAGUUUAUACCAAGUUAUGAACAAUAACGAAGAAGAGCUUCAUAUUUGAAAAUCAGAAAAUCAUGGUAGAAUAUUAAUAAUUAAUAAAAUUAGCAACAAAACUCGCAGAUUGAACUCAAAUUCUUAAAUGAUACUUAUACAAAAAUUAAAACAAGGCUUAAAUAGAAAGCUACGAUUUUCUAUUUUUGUUUUUCAUUAGUCUCUUAACAAACAAAACUAACAAUCAGAUCAACUUCUUUAUUUGAACAACCCAAAGCUUCUGAUUUCCCAGACUUUCAGGCCCAAUGAAUCAAGCCUAAUAAUAAGCCAACUCCCAGCUCAAGCAACGAGGAGUGCCUCAGAUCGAACCCAGGCUGAAAAUCCAAAAUUCGAGCAUUGGAGGCCAUGGGCUUUAAGCGUAGCCCAGCGACCUCAACCCGUUGGAAAUAUGUGGAAGGCCAUCAAACCCCCGCCGUAGAAAAAUGAAGAAGUAAUAUUUAAAGCAAAAAAUUAUUGAAAAUACUUAUGCACUGAGUUUAUACCAUGUUAUAAACAAUAACGAAGAAGAGCUUCAUAUUUGAAAAUCAUGGUAGAAUAUUAAUAAUUAAUAAAAUUAGCAAGAAAACUCACAGAUUGAGCUCCAAUUCUUAAAUGACACUUAUACCCAAAUUAAAACAAGGCUUAAAUUGAUGCAUCUCCAACAUACAUCCAACGAGCACGGAUGACCAAGGUGAUUGCAUUUCAUCCCCAAAUUGUGGUUAUAUCAAGAAUAUUUCAAGAGUGUACCUGGAAAUUGGAAUGUAAAUAGAGAAGGAGAGGUUAGCUGCAGUAAAAACUUAGCAGUAGCUCGAAAAAUAGAUUAUAACUCAGUCACAGUAAGUGAAGUAGUAGCACGGUCACACCGAGGUUCAACAAUUCAGAAGAAAUGAGUUGAAAAGCAAAGAAAAUCCAAUAAAUAAACCCAAGCAGCCUUAAUUUAGUCCCAGAAUGACUCGAACAAACAGACUAGAGCAGACCUCAACCCUAAGCACCCAGGCAACAAAAGAAAUAGAUUCAGAUUCGAGUGUAACCAGUGUCUAACCCUCAGCUACCCAUUGUUGAACUAGGAAUUCAAAAUAAAUUACCCAAACCUUGAAAUUAGACCAAAGAUAUCAAUGAAAUAGUAAUUUUUUUUGUGUUUCUGUAUUUGUUUGUUUUUUUUUUUUGUGUUUUGGGAUUUGAAUUUCUACCUUAGAUUUCGAAGAGACUAAUCUAAGAGAGAAGUUCGAAUUACAAAUUGCAAAAAUCUGGAGAUCUUAAAAUUAGAGUGUCAAGAGUAUUUCGAGGCUAAUAUUGGCUGAAAAAGAGAAGACCCUUUCACAAGGAAAUGCAAUACCUAUUUAUAGGUAAACAAGCAAAUCUUUUAUUUUCUUUUAGUCCCUCAUUUCUUUUAUGUUUACCCCCACUAUUUCCAGCUUUCCAUACAAGUAAGUGCCUCACAUUAUAAAAAAAAUACAAUUUAGACUUUGUUCUAAAAUAUUCUAGGAAGUUCUACUGGUUGCUACUAGGAUUGUUUUAUGAGAAAAUCCUAAACUGCCCCCUCUUCUUAAUUUGAACUACCUACCUCAUGUCAAUUAAGCCAAGCUUUAAUUAGUAGACUACUCUAUCAGGAAAACUACUCAAUUAACUACCCUAAGAACUUAUUCGAAUAACUCUAACCACCUAUAACUAAAGAAAAUCUACUGAAGCAAACAAACUGUGUUACCUGAAGCAAAAAAUAAAAACCUUUACAACCUACAAAUUUAACUAAUCAGUAAGUAAUGUAAUAGAAUUAGAACAAAGAUUAAUACUAACAUAGAAAAUUUGAAGGACAUCUACUUAAUUAAAGCCACUCAAUUAGAAGCAACGAUCAGACUAAAUUCUAAUCUUGAUUGAAAUAAGAUGAAAGGGAUUAUAUCGAACAAAUAACAGAUGGAACCAAAUAAACACAAAACAAAUACAAUUAGACUCUAACUAGUAAAACAACUAAUUAACUACAAAGAACUGCUUAAAAAACCUGAGGAAAUUUACUGAUGAAAAUAAAACCCCGGCUAGUCGUGUUAUUCUCAAAUUCGUCCAUGCCUAGGGUCAUUUGAGCUUUAUUGACGAUCCGUUUCUUACAAGGGAGGUACGGGGACCCUUUGACAUCAACGUCAUGCACUGUAACCAUUUUAGGGUUUUGGCAGGGAAAAUUGAAUUAGAUAUUCGAGCCGUUCCGGCCACAUUCGAGCCAAACGGCUAUGGGAUUUGUGUAGAGGAUGCUAGGGCGGUCCUAUGGUAUUAUUUUGGGGGUGAUUGGGUUAACCGGAGACAUGGCCAAAAAAUAUCUUUAUGAAUAUUCGAGAAUAUUCCGUGAGGUUUGAGGGAAGCCAAAGACGGAAUGGGAAGAGGAUGACCUGGGGAUUCGUGGUGUUAAUUUGGGGAUGUUUGGAGGCGGUGUCAUUUACCGGCGGUGGCUCCGCCGGUGAAUUUCACAGAUUAGUACGAGGAGGACAAGGCUUGGUCUUUGACCUAUUGAAUUAUCUCCGACCAUUCUAUGAGAUUAAAAGGGUAUAUCCCAUCCAUUGGCUGGAGGAGAAUUGACGG